rnacentral:rRNA from 1 species
AGUGAACGCUGGCGGUAGGCCUAACACAUGCAAGUCGAACGGCAGCACAGUAAGAGCUUGCUCUUACGGGUGGCGAGUGGCGGACGGGUGAGGAAUACAUCGGAAUCUACUUUUUCGUGGGGGAUAACGUAGGGAAACUUACGCUAAUACCGCACACGACCUACGGGUGAAAGCAGGGGAUCUUCGGACCUUGCGCGAUUGAAUGAGCCGAUGUCGGAUUAGCUAGUUGGCGGGGUAAAGGCCCACCAAGGCGACGAUCCGUAGCUGGUCUGAGAGGAUGAUCAGCCACACUGGAACUGAGACACGGUCCAGACUCCUACGGGAGGCAGCAGUCGGGACUAUUGUACACAGGGCGAAAGUCUGAUCCAGCCAUACCGCGUGCGUAAAGAAGGCCUUCGGGUUGUAAAGACCUUUUCUUGGGAAAGAAAAGCAGCAGGUUAAUACCCCGCUAUUCUGACGGUACCCAAAGAAUAAGCCCCGGCUAACUUCGUG